GUGAGGUAACGGCUCACCAAGGCAAUGACGGGUAGCGGGUCUGAGAGGAUGGUCCGCCACACUGGGACUGAGACACUGCCCAGACUCCUACGGGAGGCUGCAGUCGAGAAUCUUCCACAAUGGGCGAAAGCCUGAUGGAGCGACGCUGCGUGCAGGAUGAAGGCCUUAGGGUUGUAAACUGCUGUCACGCUAUAGGAACCCGUAGUCGUUAAUAGCGGCUGCGCUGACCAAAGCGAGAGGAAGUGCCGGCUAACUCCGUGCCAGCAGCCGCGGUAAUACGGAGGGCGCAAGCGUUGUUCGGAUUCACUGGGCAUAAAGAGCAUGUAGGCGGUCUACUCAGUCGGAUGUGAAAGCCCUCGGCCCAACCGGGGAACUGCAUUCGAUACUGGUAGACUAGAGGACGGCAGGGGUAAGUGGAACUCCAGGUGGAACGGUGAAAUGUGUAGAUAUCUGGAGGAACACCGGUGGCGAAAGCGGCUUACUGGGCCGUCUCUGACGCUGAGAUGCGAAAGCCAGGGGAGCGAACGGGAUUAGAUACCCCGGUAGUCCUGGCCGUAAACGAUGGGCACUAGGCAAUGGUUUUACCUAUGGAGAUCAUUGCCGUAGCUAAUGUGUUAAGUG
rnacentral:rRNA from 1 species